rnacentral:rRNA from 1 species
GAUGAGCGCUGGCGGCGUGCCUAAUACAUGCAAGUCGAGCGAACAGACGAGGAGCUUGCUCCUCUGACGUUAGCGGCGGACGGGUGAGUAACACGUGGAUAACCUACCUAUAAGACUGGGAUAACUUCGGGAAACCGGAGCUAAUACCGGAUAAUAUAUUGAACCGCAUGGUUCAAUGGUGAAAGACGGUUUUGCUGUCACUUAUAGAUGGAUCCGCGCCGCAUUAGCUAGUUGGUAAGGUAACGGCUUACCAAGGCAACGAUGCGUAGCCGACCUGAGAGGGGGAUCGGCCACACUGGAACUGAGACACGGUCCAGACUCCUACGGGAGGCAGCAGUAGGGAAUCUUCCGCAAUGGGCGAAAGCUUGACGGAGCAACGCCGCGUGAGUGAUGAAGGUCUUCGGAUCGUAAAACUCUGUUAUUAGGGAAGAACAAAUGUGUAAGUAACUAUGCACGUCUUGACGGUACCUAAUCAGAAAGCCACGGCUAACUACGUG